rnacentral:lncRNA from 1 species
GGCUCCACUGCCCAUUGGGUUUGCUGUGUUUAUUGUGCACCUCGCAACAAUCCCCAUUACUGGAACUGGAAUCAACCCAGCAAGGAGUUUCGGCGCUGCUGUGAUCUACAACAACGAUAAAAUCUGGGAUGACCACGUAAGAAUAAAAACUUCAUGCCGCUUUUGAGGUGUUUCUGAUGAUAUUUUGAGUUUUCAACUGAUUUGAGUUUUUAUUUUAUUCACUUUUUUUUUUUUUUUGUAGUGGAUCUUCUGGGUCGGACCAUUUGUGGGAGCACUGGCUGCGGCGGCGUACCACCAGUACAUUCUGAGGGCGGCGGCGCUCAAGGCGUUGGGAUCCUUCCGCAGCAACCCAACCAACUAAAACAAAGAUUGAAGAAAAGAAAGCUACAUUAAUGUUCUGUUGAUAUUUUGUUCUCUGUUUGUUAGUGUGUGUAUUGAGAGAGGAUGGAUGAUGAUCUUUCAAUCUUUCUGGGUUCUCUAUUUAUAAUCUAAUUACUUAACUUUAAUUAUGUUCAUUAAUUAUUGUUCAUGAGUAGUGGUGUUUUCUUUUUAUGAUUACAAUGUCUUCUCUCCUCUCUCUACCUCAAUCUACCUUUUUACGCUAUCUAUUUAGUGUUCCUCGCAAGUAAAUUAUUACUCAAAACUCCAUUUCAUAGUUAAAAAACACUUGCAAACUACCGAUUCAAAGGGAACAUAAACCCUCGUUUUGUUAGUAUGAGAAAUGCUAAAAAGAUUAUCUCAAGGUGAAAUUCUCUAUUAGUUCUAUCACUUUACAUAUUAAUAUCAAUUUUUGUUUGUCAUCUCGUUUGAUUGAUAUAAAAAUUAUCGUUAAAUUGUUGAGUGAGUUUUCAAAGUCUCAUUUUGAAAGAGAGACUUAGCAUUUUUCUUGUUAGGGUAUACAAACCCUCAUUUUGUUUUCUUAGUAUAAAAACACUAAAGAGUAAAUUAAAUUAAAGAGUAAAUUGUAGUCAUGAUUUUUUAAUUUUAACUUAAUUGGAGCAAUAGUCUCUCAACUAAAAAUUCAUUAUUUUUUUAACUCAUAAAACGUGCAGAUUACCAUUGAUCUUUCAAUUUUAAUUCAAUUGGAGAAAUUGUUUUUUAAUUUUAAAUCAAUUGUAGCAAUGGUCCUUUCAACAUAACUCGUUUUAACAAAAAAUUUGACAUAGUUGACAAAAAUGAUAAUAAUUACACACUUUGAUGAGUUGAGGACUCUAAUUAUAUAAAUGGGUAUUCUAACAUAACUUAUUUUGAUAAAAUUUUGACGAAAUUAAUGAAAAAAUAUUAUAGUUACACAUUUUAAUAAGUUGAGGGAUCAAUAAUAAUGGAUUUUUAGCUGAAGGGCUAUUGCUCUAAUUUGAUUAAGGUUGAGGGACUAUUGCUACAAUUUACUUAAACGUUAACAACACUUGAAACCCUAACCAGGCUUCUUUCUCUAAACGCUUAUUGUCGUUAUAGGGGGACUAAGAUACUUAAUUAAGUAAUCUAAUUAGGUCUUGGAAUCACUAAAAGUAGAAAAAGCAAGGACUUUGUUUACUUAAUGACAAAACCAAAUGGGUGCGCUGUCCCCACUAAGCCAAAAGUUUAGUCCAAAUUGCUCUCAUUAGGCAAGCCUAAAAAAUUGAGAAGACUAGCUUAGUAGCCCUCUAAUCUCUCUUUUAUAUCUCUACAAGGUUCCCCCUUUGUGAGCGUGGGAUUCUUGUGUUGCUGGCCUUGGAUUCCAGUGAGUUAGUGCCACGUGUCCCUUUCAGGAAAGGUGCCCCGAAACCGAAGGGUCUGCAGGGUUCCAGUUAGUGGGAAAUUUUUUAAUUGCGAUGGGAACAUGGAUGGUACACCACGUAUGUAAGUGGUAGAAAUUUUUAAUUUUUAAGUUAUUAAACUUUUAACAAACACAACUCACCAUUUAUAUAGGGAUACGUAUUGUAUCAUUUCAUGUGACGGGAACAUUGAAAAAUCUCGUUUGGUACUGAGGUGAUUCUGAAAAAAAUGGGUAUAAAAAAAGUUGGGAGUUUUUUUGUGUUUCGUAAAUAUUUAGCUUCGGCCUUUUUUUCACAGUUUUGGGUGAAAAAAGCCAAAACACAAAGCUGCAAAAUCCAACUUUGAAAAAUCGGCUUUUUCACAUCUGUUUUACAUAAAAAUGUAUCAAACACUAUAAUUUUUUUUCAAAGCACAGCAAUACCAAAUCAACUCUUAUUGAGGGGGCCGCUGCUCUACCCGGUGGUUUCUUUCAUUUUAGCUUUGUGCCUCUCUGGAAAAGUCUGACACGCAAGUGUUGGUCCCAAUUUUGGGAGCAGGGUCCAACCAGUAGGACUAAUCCAACGCAAAGUUGGAAAGCGAAAGCAGCAUGGGAUAAUUUUCCAGGGAAAGAGAUAUUCUUCGAAUAUUUUCCAUCAAAGUCAUUUGAUCAAGUAAUCUAAAUUUUUUAAAUUUCAUUCAACGGUAAAAAAUUAUUACAGUUUUUAAGAAGUUAAAAUAGAUGAGUCAUUAGAUGAAAUUUAAAAAAUUCGAAUCAUUUAAUUCAAUGAUCUUGACGAAAGAAAUACAGAGAAGAUCUCUUUUCAUUUUUCAGAACCACAGACUCCGGACUGGACUGAAUAGGACGAGACUAUUACGAGUGAUGCCGUAUGGGACUUGCAUGAGAAGCCAUGUCAUAAUCCGCUAUGUCUCAAAUCAAUUUGAGGUAUAUCAACUAAACAAUCUCUUAACAAAAUUCUUUUCCUCAAUCAAAAAGAUAUUGAAUAUAUCAAAUUAACCCUAUCAACAAAAUAAAAUAAAAUAAAUAAACAAAAUAAAAAUUAUGAACAGUAUAAUAAAUUAAGCACAAAAUAAUUUUACUGUUUUUCUUCACCAAGUUUGACAAUCAAGUACGCAUAUCAAUUGCUCCUACUUUCCCUUUAACAUUUCUCUUCCAAAUAAAAUACAUUUUAGUGACAAAAUAAUUAUUCAGAAACAAUCACUAAAGAUAUGAAUAACUUCUUUAGCACGAAAAAUUGUUUAAAGGUCAUCACCAAAAAGUUUUAGUGACCAUUUUAUGUUUUCUCUUAAUACUUAUUUUAAAAUUUUAAUAAGCACAUGCAUAGCAUAGCAUGUGUACAAUUGCUAGUAUUACUUAUGAGAAUUAAGAGAUAUUUUUUCUUUUUUUCUAGUUAAGAAUACAAAUGAAUGGGGCGCUUAGUAUUAUGGUGUAGUGGUAUUCCUCUUUAUUUGUAAGUAAGAAGUAUUAGGUUCGAAUUUCGCCAAAGGCGAAUUUGAACCAUAUUAUUCCUAGUCCAUUAUGAUGUUAAGCCCACCCCCUCUCUCCCUUAGUGAGAUAAUAUUGUUUGUUAAGAAAAAAAAAACGAAUGAAUGGUACAAAUUUUAAGAUAUCUAAUAUGACACACCCCGACCCGGGAUGUCCAUUAGGACUCCGAAUCGAGUUGUGCUGGCCGACACCUGGAAGGUGACGAAGCCAUAAAGUGUGAUAAUGUAUAAAAUGUGAAUAAAUUAAAACAUAAAAGUCUCUAAGUACACGAGUGCGCGGUGAGCGGAUCUGGACUCAUUUCACGCGUGAUACAGAGCAUAGGUAUAAUGCAGUAAGGUGAGACAAUGAUCAUACCAUCACAAGAAAACAUAUGUACCGAAAAGUGCCACGAAUCCUCGUAGAUACGGAACUCUGCUGCUAGAACCUAAAGGGGUACAAAAAUAGAAAAUGUGCAUGAGUGAAACAAAACUUUUCAAACCAAUUCCAACUACUAAAGGCAGUAGCCCUCACCAUAAUAUCUGUAUAAUUUCCCGGAAAAUAACAGGCGUGACUAUAAAUCAAUACCAUAACCAAAAUAAUAGUCUCACAAUUAUACCGUGUCAAAUAUCUCAAUAAGAACAAGUACUCAGGUGAAACAAAUCAAUAUGAAAUGACAUAUUAGCCGGAUCCACCUAUAGUGCCCUGUACAGUUGAAUUAAUAGCUCGUCAAUAUGCUAGCCAAAGUCACCUCACGUGACCUAUACGACUUAUCCAUAUCUCAUCAAUCAAGGCUAGCUUAUAAGUCGGAGUCACCUCUAGUGACCUGUAUGACUUAUUCAUAUCUCAUCCAUCACAUAUGCUAGCUCAUCACAUAUCUCAUCAUAUAUGCUAGCUCAUCACAUAUCUUAUCAAAUAUGCUAGCUUAUAAGUCGGAGUCACCUUUAGUGACCUGUACGAAUUAUCCAUAGCUCAAUAAGUAUACCUGCACACGAGUUGGAACCACCUAAAGUGGUUUGUACGACAAGAUUGGGUGUAAAUAAAUACGCUCAAAUGUUACGAUCAUGUGAAAACUGUGCGAAUAAUUACGGGUCACCUAUGAGUUGGAACCACCUAAAGUGGUAUGUACGACAGGACUGUGCACCUACCUUGGAUCCAAGGUGAGCGUAAGGUGCGGGAGGUGAACAUCACGUGAAGCACUGUGUCCUGGCCACGGACGGGAGCACUAACACCGGGGUGCAAGUUUAUGAGCUCUAACUGUAUCUAUUGUCACAUAUACGAUUCGUGGGCAACCUGUAUGAUAGUGUCGGAGUUGCCUAAACAUACAUGUAGUCAUACCAUAAUCCCCAUCAUUUCAACUAAUACUAUAAACUCACCUGAACUUACCUGGGUGUCCUGUGUUCACCUUUGCACUUCAAAGCGUUCAUAAUAAUUGUGUGCAGGUAAUAUACAUAUAGAUAACCCACGAUGAAAUCUGAUACUCAACCACGUUAUAACAUUUCCAAUUAUAUACAUACAUAUAUAUAUAUAUAUAUAUAUAUAUAUAUAUAAUGUGGCAUAAAAAUACAUAAACUAUAACGCCCUACUCUCGAAUUAUUUAUUUUCGAGAAUAAUUAUCGGUGACAAGCCCAACUAGACACUAGUUUGAUUAAUUAUCAUUACUUACGCUUCCUUACUUCAAAUUCUGUUGCAUGAAUGUAUACAUUCGUCUCUUUUACAACUUGAUGCCCUCACAAUUAAAUCUUAUGGCAUGUUUACAUAUAGGGAAAUGAUAUGGCGGAAUGGGAAUCAUACCCCAUUCCUGAUUAUUCCUCCGUUUACCAAAAAUGAACAGUUUUGCAGGCCUUUGAUUAUUUACACAUUGAUUUAUGACCAACAUUUAACCGCCAAAUUAUAAGAUUAAAUCUCAUAUUUUCUAUCAAUGUCUUUCACACUGCUUAAUUCCCUAUUCUGACCACGUCCAACAUGAAAUGAACUUACAAUCAUGAAAUUUGACUCGAGUCACUCGACCAUCAGAUUAUAGAUCAUAAUAUCAAUUGUUGUGUUACAUGACAAAAUGCUUAUUUCAUAUAACAAAUAAUUUUAUGUUUAGCAAUUCAUUAUUUCACCUUGGAUUAUUCAAUUCAAAAACAAACAAAAAAAAGUGCACAAGAGCAUCUCCAAAGGAAUGGUCAAAUUCAUAACAUCACAUUUAAAUUUCAUGGCUGACUUGACAAUUUGACAUAUUAUCAAUAUUUUCCUUCCACCCAAUAUGCCAAAAUUUAUUGCUUCAUUUAAUUUUUUUUUAAACAAAAAUAAUAAAAGUUGAGUUAUUGGUUUAAAAAUAAUCAAAUAAUACUUAAAUAUACUAGCAUUUAAGAUAAGACAAAUGAAAUGCCUUUGGAAAUAGCAAAAAAUCAAAUUUGACAUCUCUUUGUCCAUAUCAAGUUAGCCUUCUUUUCCAUGUGAUAUUUGACAUCUCGAUUGGAGUAAAUAGUACGUUAUUUGUUACCGUUAUAUGUCUUUGUGACAUUUUUUACAUCUCUUUUGGAGGAGAAAAGGAAAUUGCGAAUGCGAAACCAUUACUAGACGUAUAGUUCCACAUGGAUUUUACCCUUGAGGUGAACCCAAAAGAAGUCUUUCACAUGUCGUAGCUACAAUUCAACCACCCAAGAUCAAAUUUUGGUGGUUUCACAAUGCGACCGGGUGGUACCAAUUUCAUCUACCCUCUAUAUUGCUUUUGUUAAUUUCUUUUUCCUUAAAAACAAGCAAAAGAGAAAAAGAAAAGUAAAGGUAAAAGCCUUAUCCUUGUAAUCAAUCAAAGGGAAAACACGUCUGAGAGAAAAUAAUGAUAAUUUCCUUUUCACUUUCUCGGUGAAGGAAAGAAAAGGGCCAAUAAUCUGAGACGCCCAACAAAAUAAAAGCACUGCAGAAUCAUGAAAACAUGUAGCUAGAACAUGUGAGAGUUUAAGGGGUUCCAUCACAGAAAAUUCCUGGGUGUUCCAGAAUAUACGGUACUCCGGGUGUUUUAAUUGUUGAAUUUUGAUUUUUUUUGUAUUUUUGAACAAAAAUCUAACGGUUAAAACACAUAAAGUACCAAGUACUCCGGAGCACCCAAGAAAGUCCCGGUCCAUUAUAUUCACCUUAUGGAAAGGGUAGUGUUAUUUACUCCCUUUACCUCCCACACACACUCAUUAAGUUUUGUCCAUGGAUCGUUUUCAAUUCAUUCGAUCCAACAGCCAAAAAUUAAAAUAAAUGUGUGAGGUAAAAUAGAUGUGUAGAUAGUACCGUCCUUUGGAAAAUGCUAAUUAUUCAUGAAUUUUAAAGCCUUUUUAAACAGGACUCAAUAAAGAAAGUUUUAGUUACCCAUCACAUGGAACCAAUCUCCCUCAGGUCUCCAACUGAUAUGACUUGUUUAAUUCAAGCGCUUAAGAGUUAAGAUAAUGCUGAUAACAGCAAUUCCGUAUAUUCUAAAACUUUCCAUGGAACUGUCUAAAUUCCAACCACAAUCAGACGGACACGAAUUGACAGUCAACUCCAACUCCAAUGCAGAUGAGUAGAUAAGAAAAAUCUGUUUCCACAUGAAAACUUGGUAUGCCACUUCAACUAGAACAAAAUCUGAAUAUCACAAACCAUUUCACCUUUGUUCCAACAUGUAUUCUAUUAUUACAAUUCAUCGGCACUGAAGCUGCCGCAGCACUAAGCCGAGGGAAUCAUAAGUUCCUGUCAGCCAGUUGACUUUCACAAUUAGACAAACAUCAAAAGGCAGUGCAUUUUGCUACGUUUACCUUAGUCGGGCAAUGCAGUUCCGCGCUCAAGAUUGUUUUUGAUUUCCAACGUGUAUUUACCAAAGGCUCGCUCAAUCUUCUUGUUGAAAUGCUCAUUGCGGUCAUUGAUCGAGUCAAUAUCUUUCUCAUCGUGGAACCUCCUCCUCCUGCUGAAGGAAGCCUUCUUCUCUUCCCGAUCCUUGAGUUCCUUCACCAUCUUGUCAAGUUUAUCCUCUGAUAUCUUUGGAGCCUGCACCAUAAAAAAUAAAUUUUAGGGGUUUGAGUCCAAUUUCAGCCGGAGUACGAGGAACCAUCAGAUUUCCUCAAAAGAAAAAUACCUUCCCAUAUUGGAGGCUGGAAGCUUCACGAUAGAACUCCGGAUCAGCUUCUUUCAUCCUAUUGUAUUCUUCCAAGUCAAUAUCAAUGUUCUUUGUCCGCUUUUUGUAUGCAUUGUACAGAGUUUUCUGAUUGAAAACUGUUCAAACAACAUGUCAGCUCACAUUUUGGAUUUACAUAUCUAUAAAACUACAAGAGCAAAAUUGGAUAUCAAGUUCAUCUUUCUAUCUACAAUGUUUAGUCUUAAUGCACCACAACUGGGCAAUAGAGAAUUGUGAUGUGCGUGAAAGCGUGCAUAAAAGUGAACAGUUGACAAUACAAUAUGUACAUACCCCAAUUAGUAUUCAGUCAAGUUGCAUACCCGAAACUUUUGGAGGGGAAGUAUACAUACCCUAAUUAACUAGAGCAUAUGUAUAGCAUAGAAUCGAACAAAUAGUUAAUAAAUUUAGGCUUCUCUAGCUCUUGCUCUUGCUUAACCCUUGGUUGCGCAGGUAUUUCCUUUCCCCAUACACCCUAAAUAUUCUUAUCUAUUGCUCAUUAAUGUUAACCUAAGCCAUUCCAGGUUCCAUCAACAAACUUUCUCUAAAAUCCUAUGACAUCAAAAGCAGAUUGAACUUGAUAAAAUACACCUAGAAGUAUGUUUUGUAACAAAGGAACAUGAAGAGCACAUGUAUUAACAAGAAACUGAGGAGAAAAGCCAACAUUUUAACCAAAAAACAAAGAACAAUAAAUUACUGAGCAGAAAUUGUAGAGCAUACCAUCCCAGCCAGCUGGGGCAGGAUCCUUUUCCCAUUUCUUAUAUUUUUCCUCUGCCAUCUCUUGCGUAUCUAGCAUGUAUGCACUUUUCAUAUCCAAACCAUUGGCAUCUAGAAGUUUGCCAAUUCUUUUCUUCCUCUCUUCAACCCAUUUUUGUUUCGAAAUACCCCUGGAUUCUUGUCGGGGUUCCAGUCUUUUCUUUUCGGCCGUAAUCUCCGUUUGAUUUUGUUUCUUUGCCUCACCCUAUGUAAAGUUAGAGUUAAAUAAAUAGACGAAAGAAUGGAACAGCUUUCUAUUUAAAUAUCUGAUCAACUUUGCGACAAUGCCAUCUACUUUAUAAAGUUUCAGAAAACCUUACCAAUUUCUUCCUCAAUUCCGCCAAUUUUCUCUUUCUCCCUGUUAAGUUUUGGAAGUCUCCUUCCAUAUUCUCCUCGAGAGGAUGGGCAUCAUCAUCAUCAGCAUGUUCUUGAGGAUAGGCAUCGCCAUCAUCAGCAAGUUCUUCAGGAUCUGAUUGGAUUUGAGGCAUUCGAGCCUUGGCUUCGGCGAUAACUGUAAAGCAAUACUCGCUGCAUUCAUGGUAUGGAUUGGAUGCAUUUCUGCAAUCCGGGUGAACUCUUUGCUCAUCAGACAUAUUUUCCGCCUUUCGAACCUUCUAUAUCUUUGCAGCUACCUGAAAUCAAUACUCCACCAAUUAAACCUAGCUCCUGAAGUUCCUUUCUAGUACCCAACAAUCCCAAAAAUCCGGUGCUUUGUGCAAGACCGACAAACACAAAAUCAGAAAAUCGUAACCAUCACUAUGUUCGGCAGCCGAGAAAAUUGAAAAGGAUACAAGAACGAAUAAAUACUACAAGUUCUAGAAAACUAAGAUACAAUCAACAAAAAGUAAAAGGACUAGAUGGAAUUAAAAAAUUAAGCUUACUAAUUUACUUAAUUCGAAAAGAAAAAAAAAACGAAAAAAUUUGAACAAUUUUAAUGUCAUUGUUUUAUUUUGCUUAAACAUUCAUCGGAUUAUCGGCAACCAAACCAAAUCUGACUCAACCCAACAACAUACAGAACAAUGGAAAAUCGAAUCUGAAAGAAAUUGCGAAGAUAAAGGGACGAACCUGCGCGACGAAUUGAUUCGAUUGGCGAGCUCACUGCUUCUAGGUUUAGGUUUUGAUUGGGGAAAGAGGAUGAAGAACAAAGGGCUUAGGACUAACGCGCGAAUUGGACGAAUGCGAUUCGAAGAAAAAGAAAACUCCUUUUUGCUUUUUUAUAUAUUUGGACGGCGGUGCGGUUGUUUUUAUGAGUGGCCCAACAAGAAGAAAAUAGAAAGGCUGUGAUAACUAGCCCAAUCGGCCCAUACUCCAGCAGCAUGAGAAAUUUUUAGGUACGGCUGCUCGUGCCACGCCACACGUCUAAAAUGGGAAAUUCUGUCAUCCGAUAAUUGGACCACGUGUUCGUGCGGACCCAGACAAAAUAACCUAACCACCCCCUAAUUUGUCCUACUCCCUCUAACAAUCUCUAAUCCGGCAUUCGUGGAGAAGGUCUUCUCCUUUAAGACACACAAGGAGGCUACGCAUUUUGAUCGACCAAAAUGGGUCAAUUCGGAAUCUGAAUGUAGGAAUUCCUCUUUGUGUAUGUCAGCAAUUGACAUAAAAUGAGUGUUUGCGUGUAAGAAUCUUUCCAUCGGCGCACAAAUUUUCUACCAAAAUUUCAAUUCAACGCCCUAAAAUCAAAUCUCACCUAUAAUAAAUUUGACAAUAUUGCUACAAGUAUGAUCUGAUCAGAUUUCUCCCCCAAAAUUUCAUCAAACCCCCCUCCAACGGCCUAAAAUCCCACGGGAUGAAAGUGCUACAAGUAUGGUCUUCGGUUGACAAAAUAUGACACAAACAAGAACCCUACGAGUUUAUAGGGCAUUAUGCUAACAACGGCUCCUUUCUAUAUGUACAGCUAUUUAAAGCGGUUGAAGUGGUUGAGACCAUUUAACUCUCAUCGGAAAUCCUGUAUUCGUUUAUCUCUCCUCCCAAUAUUAUCCACAUAAAAAGAUAGGUGAAGUUUAAGACCCUCUCUAAAUAAUAAGUCAAAUUUUAAAAAUAAAAAUUUAUUUUAAAGGCUUAUAUGGCACUUUGACUUUAAAAAAAAAAAUUAUUUUCCACUCGAUAUGUUUAAACAUAAACUAUUAUUUAUUACAUUAUUUAUUUUUCAUAAUUGUAAUAAGUAUUUUUAAAAUAAAAAAUCACAAUACAAAUAAUGAAAGCACAUUAAUUACUAAAAAUAGAUUUGAAAUUGCUGUCAAAUUUUACACCAACAACCUUUGUUGUCAAUCCACAUCAUGCCACAUAGGAUUGACAUUUCGGUUGAAAAACACUAAUGAUGUCUUCUUUUACUGUUAUUGCUAUUGCUGAUGUGGAAUGUUUGACUCCUUUGGAGAUGUUCUAAUCAAUACGAUAUAAACGGUAAACAUCAUGCACAGGAACAACAACUACGUAAACUUUAAAAUCAUUUAUUUUUCAACUACUUUCUUCUAGCUUUCUUGUGUUCAUAUAUAUGAAGCAGAAAAAAUAAAAAAAUAUAAAAAAAUAUAAAAGUGACAUGAUUCUCAAAUCACUAAGUCAGUAGGGUUCUACAAUCCCAGAAUCCUCAAAUAAUUUUUAGUAUAAGUACCAGAUAGCGAAACCGACACGAUACAUCCUACAUUUACUUCAUAGCUACAAAUAUAGAAGGGAUGUACCAGACUAUAGUUUCAACCUUCAGAACAUUUUAUAUAUGACCUACAUAUUACAGGUCUUACAGUGUUUGCAGUUGCUUGCUUCACAAGACUUUGUCCAACAACGGUUUACUAGGAAGAUUUUCGACCUUGGACUUCAUGUUACUAACACUGUCGCUCAAGACGGAAGAUUUAAGCUCGAGCUCCCGCAGGUGGGCUUUCAUUUCAGCAACUUGCUUCUUGGCAUUGGCAACCUCCUUUUCUUUCAGAACCAGAGCCUCAAUUUGCGGUUCAAGUUCUUUCCUUGUGGAUUCUAAAUCACGGUCGCAGUUUUCCUUUGCUACUUCGAAUGCUCGAUGCUGAGUGACGAGUUCAAUGGAUUCUUCAUAUUUGUUGAUCAGACAGCGGAGCCAACCAACAUCCAUUCCCGAAGAUUCUACAUCCUUAAGCAUAGAUAACAUUUGUUUGACUCUAGGCUUUGUCAGCUCCUUAAUCGAAGUUCGCUUCAACUCUUGGACUAUAUAACAUACACACUCGAGAUAAUAAGAGCGCAUGGCAACUGAUUCCAAUUGACAGCUUGCGGCUAUAUCACCAUAUUUUUCCAUGAUUGACUGGAGAAUGGAAGAGAAACUUCCUUUCACACGGUAUUUUCCCACAGAGACACUGGCAUCAGAAAUAACAGAUCGUGUAUCGUCAUCAUCACUAUCUUCAAAAGCAUGGACAGUACCUGAGAAACUAAAUCUUGAGUCGAAAGCUGAUCCAGUAGAGCCUUCUCCUACAUUGCUGACGGUAUGAUUUGAAUCAACUCCAGGUGAAUGAUUAAUAUUUUCCUUGUCUUCCCCAUUACUGGGUGGUUCACUAGCGAUGUAAGUAGCACCAUUCUCUCGAGGGUGUUUGGGAUUUUCAGGCUGUCAGAGGGAGAGAUAGCAUAAGAAAGGAGUCAAAGCGAUACACAAAAAAGAGAAAAAAAAACACAGAAUUAGUAAAGAAAUUGUGUGAGAGAGGGGGUGGAGAAAGAGCACACCAUUGUGAUAAUUCCAGAUGGUGGCACUAACAGAGAAGACGGAACUGGAUCCUUGUUGAAUGAAGCAUCUUUUACUUCAGCAGACGGUGGAGAAUAAGAUUUAUGCUCACCAUUCCCUAUUUUAACCUCUUCCUUAAUUUCACCGGAUGCAUUGUCAAGCUCUUCAGGGCGCAUUGGUCUGGAACCAGGCCUUUGUCUGCCAAAUAUAGGAUCAUCAAGCACGGAGCCUGCAAUUAAAGCGGACCAGAUGUUAUGAAAUAAUAGCAUGAAUACGUCACCAUCCAUGUGUACGUGUACAUGGGAGGUGGAAGAGGACUGAAUAAAUAAAUCCAUAAUCUCAGGUAGAAGAAGAUUUAUGCUCACCAUUUUCUACUUGCACUAUUUCUUCAGAUCGAGAAUCAGAGGGAUAAAUUACACCUCGACCAGUUGCAUUCUUAAGCUCUUCAGAGGGCUUUGGCUGAGUUCCCUGCUUCCUUCUGCCGAAUAUAGGAUCAUCAAGGACAGAGCCUGCAGUUAAAACGCACCAUAAAUUAGGAAAAAGAAGUGUGAUUACAUCUGCACCCAUGGGCAGGGGAAAGAGGAUAUGAAUAAACACAUUCACUAUCGGUCAGGUGAAGGGAGAUUUACGCUUACCGUUCUCUAAUUUCACAUUUUCCUUAGAUGGAGAUGACUGAGCAUCUAAAUGAUAAAUCACACUUCGGACAACCUCCUGAGGGGUCCUUGGUCGGGAUCCCUCCCUUUGUUUGCCCAAUAUAGGAAUAUCAACUAUUGAACCUGCCAUUCAAACAGACCAUUAAAAAGGUGAACCGGGAUUACAGUCCAUGAGUAUCAUGUGCAUGGCCAGUGCAAGGGGAAUGAAUAAAUUCACAUUCCGGUUAUCCGCUGCACAACCACAAAAGAGCUUCUCUUGCCCAGGAUCUCAUGGAAACUCAAAUGAAACAUUUGUAUUCCAGUGCAGAACCUCGGGCAUUCUUAAGGCAACCGUGAAAGCAAAUUAUGCUUAUAGCAUUGCGGAUUGGCUAUGAAUUGAUGGCAUUCCUAGGACAGGGGAAUGAAGUGCUGUCGGUUUUCCGUACCAUUAAGAAUGAAGUGCAGAACCUCGAGCAUCUAAUUGUUGUCAAAUGGAAAACAUUGGUUUGACAGAUGGAAUCAUUUGCAGCUUGCUACUCUAUCUAGCUUUUCUAUUGUUGCAGUUCAGAAAAGGGAAAAUGUACAUAUAACUUAACACGGUCUAUUGAGAAGUCACCACACGAAAGCAGGGAAAAACCUGAUUCUUUUUUGCCCCCACGAGGUUCGGCACCAACGGCUCUUUGGCGGAAGAAUUCAGGGUCAUGGUAAGGAUUGGAUGCUCUUUUCUCUUCAGCCCCCCUUUUUUUGUACUCACCACCUUUAAAACUGCUGCCAAUAUCUUUGGAAAAGAAACAAAAUGAGAAAAAAAUCUAAAAUUUCCAACUUGUACUCAGAAAAUGCUCAAAAGAAAAGAUCCUUGAAGAAGAAACUUCUCAGAACCAUUAAUCCAAGGCAAGAAAACAAUCUCGAACCAAUAAUUCACUACACCUCGUAAGGCCAUGCUAUUUUCUAAUCAAUCAAGACAGUAAGACACAUCUUCACGGAUAGAUUUUGAAAGAGAGCCGCAAGCAAUUCAAAUUUAAUAGAAUUAUAUGACUGAACAAUUGCCAAUCACUUAACACAAAACACAGACCAGAUAAUCCAAGCGGUAAAGAUAUGAGCAAUAAGCAAUAACAUGAAAUGCGUGCGAAAACACGGGCGUUCACAUUUGGCAACAAACCAGUCAGAAUUCAUAUUGAAAACAAAUGCUUUGAUUUUUUAAAGUACGAAAGCAUUUUUUAAUUGCGGUUAAAUAAAAGUAAAACUAAAGUGCUCAAAUAAUUCCUGAACCAGAUUAGCAAUCAGUUUGGUGAUGUUUUUUGGGCAGGGGACUAAGAGAAUACAUGUUGUUUAAGAACAGAACAAUAACACAAACCUGAUUUCUUUUUCGUAACCUUUCGGCCUUUCCCUUCAGCAAUCUUUCUCAGGCAAAUUUCAGUGCAUUCAUGGUAGGGAUUGACUACAUUAACACAUUCGGGGUGUAUUUUUCCGAUCAGAGACAUCUCUCUAUUGAGAUCACCUACAACCCUGCAAAUCAUAACUCCAUUAAACAAUUUUGAAUUUUUAAUAACCAGAGACAUAGAAGGUUCUGAAAUUUAUUUUUUUUCAAAUUAACAAACUUUCCUCAAGAACUUGGGAAUAAUCAGCUGAGCAUAAAACUGAUAUCCAAUAAUUCAAACCAAUAAAAAAAGUUUUUUUUUUUUUUUAAUAAAACCAUGAAAAUGAACUCUCAGAAACUCUUGCAACUUCAAUAAAUUUUCAUUUGGUUGAUGAUAAAACAUAGAAAAAGAAAACUAAAAAGUUGAACCUUUCACAAUCCGGCAAAUAGCAAAUAAAGCAAACAAGAAUAUCAACGUGCACCAUGCAAUUCAGUUCAAUUCAAUUCAACCAGUUAGCUAAGCUGCAAUGGUAAUCUUUUCACAUGAUAAGAAAACCCAAAAACUGAAAUCACAGCAGAAACUCAAUCCCACUGGACUUUCCCACCUUUUCUCAGCAACCAAACAGAGUAAGAAAAGCAGUCUUCAAAAAACAAGAACAUGCACACAUUAUUUCCCAAACUUUCUCAUCACCAACCAUAACAUCAUUCAUAAGCAUAAAAAUUUCAACCUUUUUAACAGACUCCCAUGAACACAAACAUCAAAAAACCACCAAAACCAACAAAAACAACAAACAAAAUUUUAAGGGCCAGAUUGAGAGAAAAGACCUUGAAUUCAAUUGGGUUUUCUGGGUUUUCUGCUUUUGACCCUCUGGCGAUUCAACAAGAUAAAAGGAGGCGAUUUAUGUGUGAAGCGCAGAAAAAAGGACUAAAGUUGGGGGAAGAGCUCUCUUGUUUUGACCAUGGCGACGACUAAUAAGCUUUUUUUUUUCUUGAAAGCAAAAAAAAAAAUAAAUAGUCGAAAAAAAUUCACAGCUCUCCCAAUGUCAAAACGUUUGGGUUUUCCACGUUGAUUAGUAGGCAGUCGUCACGAGACAAAUGCAUGUGCCACCUUUUCUUUCACAAAGGCACUUUUGGUGACGAUCUGGCUGACGAUCUUGUGGAUCCUAUUACUAUAAUUAAUUAAUUAUAGCCCACCAUUUUUGUUGAGGAAAAUGAGGAUUUUAGAUUUAGGUUUAUGUAAAGGGUUGUGACAUCUACAUAUAUUUUUUAUUUGUCACACAUUUUUUUAAUUUUCAACCGUCAGAUCAGAUAAAUUGAAAAAUAUUAAACGAUAGAAAUUAAUAAGGAAUGUGUAAGAAGUAAGGGUAUGCUUAUGUAAAAUCAAUGACCAAAAUAGGGGCCUUAAAAGGAUUUUCCUUUUUAAGCCUUGGUAGGCAAUGCUUUUUAUUUAUAUUUACAUUUUAGGCAAUUUUCUAAAUAACUAAAAAUUAAAUUUUAAUCGCCAAACGAAUAAGACACUCACUCGUCAUAUCACAUUAAUAGACACAUGUACAUAGUUGUAAACCCGCAUUUUUCUUAGGUCGAAUAGUUCAGCACUUAGAUGUUGUAAAAUUAUUAAAACAAUCAAUUAUCCUUAUUUCUUUGGAAAUACUUUUGUAAUGUAUCAAUAUAAUUUUAUAAGUUAUACAUCCACAUCGUAUAUACAAAUUUUUGUAUUACAAUUUUUUAAUUUUGUUUUGGAACUUUUUCAAUUGACCAAAGUGUUUAAAAUGUAUAUAUGUGCAACACAUAAUGAGUUUGAUAAAAUUUAUAAUGAUAAGAGGCAAUACGUACAAACUGAAUUUGGGUCAUAAAAUUUUAAUUUGAGUAAGCUGUAUUUGUUUCCAUCCCUAAUAAUUCAGGUAAAGUUUGUGUAGAGUCCCAUUAGAUUUAUUUUAUUUUAUUUUAUUAAGAUACUAUUAGAUUUUGGUUCUCUAAUUCAAAUACCAAAAUGACACUCCAAAAGAAAAAUUCAAAGACAAUUAAAUAUUUCAAGUACGGUAUUUUUUAUUUUUUUAUUUUUUUUGUAUUUGUAUAUUUUGGCAUACUUGUCAGGUUCUCAUGUUUCACAUCACAUGUGCAACUUUGUUCUAGAUAUUUUGGUCAAUAUAGAAGUUUUGUUAUUGACCAACUGUUUAAAACAUGUAUACGCUUGUAUUAUAUUUUUUUUUCAUUUUUUAAUGUUCGAUGACUUCGUUUCUUAAAAAAAGUCGUGCAGUGGAAAUUUUAAAAUUGAGUCUUUCUACAACAAAAAAUUCUCCUAAACGCAGGUAGAAGUGGUUUCAAGUUAUCUUAAGUUUUUCAUUAAUAAAAAACGAAUACGCCUAGAAGCAUCGGCUUAGAUCAUAUCAAUUCGAUUUGACGGAGUCAUCAACAUCAACGCACAUUAACAUAAGACCCUGUAUUUUAUUUUCAGACCUUUUACGUAAAGGGAUCUUAUUUUAUGGUAAAGUUGGAGAAUAGUUGUGGGCUCAAUUUACAUCGAAUUUCAAUAAUUUGAACCGUUUAAUUUUUAAGUUGUAUUUUAUAGAUUAUUCUUGCAAAAUAUUAAUCAAAUAAAAAAUGCUUGAAACAUCUAAUUGAGUUUAAAGAGAUUGACGAACACUAUAAUUUAAGAAACAUUGGAAUUUUACCGUGAUAAUCAAAUGAGUAAAUGAUUUCAGAUUGAAUUGAUUUUUUGUAAAGUUGAUCCAUGCAUGAAGAUUUAAAAAAAAAGAAAAUUCAGAUCGUUAAAUUUUGAUGUACAAUGAACCCUGCAACUAGUCCCUUUUUUUUAUCGAAAAAAUGGAAAUCCCUUUAUAACCCUGUCAUUCUAAAAUUGAUAUAAGGUCAAGUUGCGUAGGUCGUCCUCUGGUCAUUGGAAUUCAAUUUCGUUUAAUUACGACAUAAAUUAGAAUACACAAACUAGUUCUAGAAGCUCAAUUUAGUUGGUUGUAUUUUGUACACAAUACACCUCGCCUCUAGAAGCUCAAUUUUGUCAACGUUGUUCUACAUCAUCUAAUCUACCUCUCGCUCAAUUAAUUUGCAGUAAAGUCAUCAUUUUACCAACCCUUUUUUCUUAGCUCCACAGAAAUGGUAGGAAUAUGUGGUUAAUUAUAAAAACUUCUAACUUAUUUUUCUUGCAUUUUAAUGUCGAGAAGUAGAAUAUUGGACCGCUAUACUUAGGUGAGGAAAUAAAUAAUAAGGUCCCAAUUGAUUUUGCCAACACUGUUACAUGAUCGCGCCUCUGCCAAUAAACAGAAGAACAGAAAAUUAAUGUCACGGUCAAUAAUUCAGAGAGUUCAGUUUCUCCCCGGAACAUCUCCAAUUUAAGGAUUCAAAUCUUAUAUUUGAGUUCAAAUACAAAAUAAAACAUCUCUAAUGCACGUGAGACUUAAAACUCAAAGACAAAGUAAGACCCAUAUUUGGGUUUCAGUAUGAGAUUUGAGUUCAAGGUGGGGUCUAUGUCAACUAAAAAAAAAAAAUUAUGUUAGGGAGAUUAAAUUUGUAGACUAAAUUUGCAAACUAAAUGAUGUGUUACCAAUAAGAAAUGAACAUGUUUAUCAACGUUUAAGUAAUAAUCUAAUCAUCAACUUUCAUGUUAUUUAGUUUAUAAAAUUUAAUCUAUCUAGCAUUACUAAAAAAAAUGUUAUUCAACCAAGAAAAAUGAUAUUUGAGUUGUCCAAUGUACAUAACCAAAAUAUUAAACCUCAAAAAUGAAUUUUGAGUCUUUGUUUUCUUUUUCAAACUCGAAUCUUAAGACUCUAAAUGAGCCCUAUUAAAUCGUCUCAACAAACUAUGUGCCUUGAAUUCCUUUAUUACUUUCUUGUUUUGCUUUUCAGUGCCACGAAGAGGCUUGAGUGAAAGAGGAUUGUGGUUUACCACUGUUGGAUAUGAUGUCAACCGACAGAGUAUGUGUUAGCGUGAGUUCAAAGUAUCAUUAAGAGAUUGCUAAUACUAACAACCGACACUCAGGCUAUCAUUAAGAGCUUGCUAAUACUAACAACCGACAGGGUAUGUGUGCCACUGUUGGGUAUGCUGUUCAAUUUUUACUUCACGUACAUAAUGUAAGGUACACAAACUAUUUUAUCUCACACACAUUCUAACAUAUUGUUAAACAAUUAAAAUAGUACGUAAGAGGUAAAAUGGAUUGUGUAAAAAUCAUCAUCCAGGUCGAUUGAAGAUACAAAAACGAAUUUCUAUUCACUUUGGGAAAAAAAAAUCCACUUAAAGAGUAAGUAGUUAAAGUAUCAAUAAGAGCUUGCUAAUACUAACAAAACUAGUGACAUCCUAGUGUGAUUUCAACAUACAUCUAUAUCCCAUGAAAUGAAGGGCAUGUACCAUGCAUAAUUAUAUGGUUAUCAAAUUAAUGAUGCAGUAUACCUUUUAAGUAACUUUCGUUUAAUUUUUUUAAUAAUCUAUAUGUGAUGGGCUGUUAGCCGGAUAUUUCAUCUAAACGGGUGACAAGUCACGAGCCCUAAUCUUACACCAGAUGGCACUUCCUUGUGAUAUUGCUUGUUUCUGUUUUCAGUUGAAACUUCCAAGUAAAAGUAGUUGAAACACGAAACAAUAUGCUGAAACCAAACGAAUAAAAGACUAGGUGAGGUAGUUAGGGUUCUAAACGCCAAAUCAGGUCAUGCGAUUUGCCUUUCCCAUCAUUUCCAACUCAAAUAUAAUAUUUUUAGAUAUUUUCUUCUUUUCCUAUCUAAAAUAUCUCACUACGUCAUUUUAUUAUAAAAGAACUCGUUUGAGACUUCUUUUGAAAGAUUAAAAUGCUUAUAAAAAGGGAUAAAAAAAAUUCACAAAAAAAGUUUUAAAAUAUUUCUAAAUUAUAAUUAAACAAUUUUUAAUGCUUUGUGAAUAAUAAGCACCUUCAAGUAAAUUUCUAGAAAACGCUUAAAUUUUCUGUAAAAUCACUUAUAUACAUCUUUCCAAGCGACUCCAAUAUUAGGUAAAUUAGAAUUUUUAAAGAAAUUAGUUAUUUUACUACAUUUUGAAACAAAUGAUACUUGUGUGUGUGUGUGUGUGUGUGUGUAUUAGUACCGAUUGAUCAUGAUCAUUUAUAUAAAAUGAACUCACUUGUAUCAUAAUACGGUUUUAUUUAUGCAAUUGAGAAAUGUGGUCUCUGUAGCAUUGUUGAAUUAAAAUAUAUAUUUUCUUGAUUGGCAAUAAGGAAAUAAAAACAAUUUUCUCUCCUUCAUGCAUGGGCUGCAGUUCACCAACCAAGGUAGCUAGCCAAGCCCUAAACACGUAUAUAUAAAAAGAAACAUUUGUGAGAUGGGGAGGGUUCAACUGUUUUUGAAUUCUUGGUUCUCUCUCACUGGAACGCAAAUAGAAUAUAUAUUGACAAUUUUGUUUCUUCUCAGCUUGUUGAUAUGGAUAUCUUUCUGGGAUACUGAGGUGGAUGCUGUACUGUCUGAGCUUAAUUUUUGUAUGACGAGUGUGAGAAGUUGUUAACGAUUGCUAUCGAGUAGUAAAUUUUGCAUGGACCCUUCUAGCUACCUUUUUACCUUUUCUGAUUAAUAUAUUUUCUUUCCUGUUUGUUCUUUUAGUAAUUUUCUUCCUUUUCCCAGUGAAAACAGUCGGCCGCUGCAAUAGUCUUGGAAGCAAGAAGCACUAAUUGUCAUCUGACAGGUAGGGUUUGCAUGUUCUUCUGUUGGGUGCUUGUUAGUGGGCUAAACUUGUUGCAUAAUAAUAAACGAAAAAGUUUGGAGCAUUGUGAAGAAUUCCCAAAUUAUGACAAAUUUUAGCUCGUUCUGCAAAAUUAAUUCCCUGUUUGAACAAUUUGAAAUUAAUUCCAUGUUUCGAUUAUUGGCUAACGGAAGACUUGAUGCAAAACCAAGCGCAAUGACAUUACAUAAUUCAUACAGUUGACCACACUUAGUAGCAUAAAUUUUUGUUGUUGUUGCUGUUGUUUCGAUUAUUGGCUUUCCACAGUUAAUCAUAUUAUUUUGCAGGUGGCAUGAAAAUCAUUAUGCAAAAUCUGAUUGAUAGGCUUAGACCCCUUGUGGGUUUGAAAGGCUGGGAUUAUUGUGUUCUAUGGAAAUUGAGUGAAGACCAAAGGUUAAUUUAGAGAGGAACUACUUAUUGUUCUGUUGCUAAUUGAAAUUAACUAAAUAUUACCCUCCUUAUCUCUUCUUUGUGUGACAAAUUUAAAGAUUUUUUAUAUUUUUAUUAGGUUUAUUGAAUGGAUGGACUGUUGUUGUUCUGGGACUGAUGGAAACACUCAGACAAAUGGAGGACAAGAGCUUCUUUUUCCAGUUUAUCCUGUCCUUCCAUGCCGGGAUAUAAUGCACCACUCACGAACUAAUUCUUGUGAUCUUCUUGCCCAGCUUCCUUCUUCCCUGCCCUUAGAAUCUGGGUACCUAUAAAUAUUAUUUAGCUUUCAUUUUUUGUAUUUUUUUAAUCAUUCAAUUAUAAUUAGUACUAAAAGUAAAAACUAAAUUGUGUUUGCACAGGAUUUAUGCACAGGCAUUAAUUUCAAACCAGAUCAUUUGGUUGAACUCUACCAAUAGAGAUUUAAGUCAUAUGGUAUAGUCGUUGUCCAAUUCUUUUAGAUAUUUUUAAGAAAAAAAAAAAUACCCUCUUUGUUGAGCAUAUAAUUAAAUGUAACUCUAUACUCAUCAUCACUUAUUUUGCAGGAAAGAGAUGAGACCAGGGUUUUGGUUCCAAGUGGUGGAGGGCUGAUUGAGCUGUUUGUCUCUAGAGAUGUAUGAUAUAUAUGAUGCUUCACUUUUAAACAGCUUCCUUUCAAUUUGUUAUUUUAGAUCUUUCAUGUGGAGAAAUUCUUACAUACGCACAUGCAUAUGUGCCACCUCUCACACAAAAGUUGAGCCUGAGCUAGACCCAAAUACAAAGGCUCACCCUUUGUAUGAGAGUUGCCGCAUGCAAACGUCUAUAUGCUAGUAGUUCUCGUGUACAUGAUAUGAACCAACUAUUUGAAACAUUUGUGUCCUACAUAAAUUUUGUGAGAGAUGGGGUAUGUAAGGGUCACAAUUUAUAGUUUUGCCUGCAACUAACAAAUUCACACAUUACAAUUUUUAAGUAUUUGCAUUUUUUUCCACUUUGACAGGUCUCUGAAGACCAACAAGUGAUUGACUUUAUCACUGCCCAAUGCAACAUUUCACAUGAGCAAGAUAUCCUGCUUAGUGCAAGCUGCAAUACAAGCUUCACCGUGGAUAUAAACAACAUGAGCAAUGACAUACGACCAAAGGCAUUUCUUGUAGAUGAUAAUGGGGGAAAUGAUCAUCUAAACAACAAUCAUAGUUUCCAGCAGCAACCUGUUUUUCCGGCAAUGGCAUUGGAUCACAAUUCGAAUUUGCCAUGCGAUAUCUCAGUUGACCAAAUCCGCCUAUGCAGCACUUCCCCAAUGAAUUUCCUCCAAAAUAGUAACAAUAAUAAUGUCUAUAAUUUUGAUCAGGGUUCACAUGAGUCUUUGGGAGAGAUGGGGCUUCAAGCUGAUACUAAUGCACAAAACUUGCAUAAUAAUAUUCAAGUUAAUGAGGGAAUAGAAAACAUUGAGCAGCAGGUUGUGGAUGAUCAAGACUCAAUUAAACACGAGGGUGGAAGAACUGCUGAUCAUUCAGCUUCAGAUUGCAGUGAUCAGUUUGAUGAUGAUGGUGGCACGAAUUAUAGGAGAAGAACAGGAAAAAAGCCUCAGUCAAAAAACCUUGUGGCGGAGAGGAAGAGAAGGAAGAAACUUAAUGAGAGGCUCUAUCACCUCCGCUCAUUGGUUCCCAACAUUUCUAAGGUGAUGACCAUGGCAUUAUUAUUAUUUUUUCAAUUGUACUAGAUGGACUUUACACUUUCCUAUGUGUUAGUUGAUAAUUAAUUAACAGUUGACAGUAGUAACUAGUGUGACAAGUAUGUUGUCACAUCAUGUGGUCGGGCUAAUGUUAUAUAAAAUACGUGACAUCUUUAGCAGAAUCUAAUGCCUACUCAUUUUGAUUCACAGAUGGACAAGGCUUCCAUACUCGGGGACGCGAUUGAGUUCGUGAAGGAGUUGCAGAGGCAAGAAAAAGAACUCCAAGAGGAGCUUGAACAGCAUUCAGAUGAUGGAGGAUCUAAGAAAAGGAAUUCCAAUAAUAUCUGUGGAAACCACACCAAUUUCCAGCCAGAAACUCUGAGUCAAAACGGAAAUACCACUGCAAAUAAACAAGAAAAUGAUGAGCUUCCAAAUGGGUUUCGUGUGGGAACAGCAGGAGACAUUGGCAAUAUCUCUAAACAAAAAAACCAAGACUCAGAUAUUACUAAGGACAGGGGACAAGAGAUGGAGGUAUAACUUAAUCUUAUAUAUGUUUUUUAAAUUUGAAAUUUCAGAUAACAAAAAGAUUAAUGGAAUAAUAUGGUUGCAGCCACAAGUAGGGGUUACUCAGUUGGAUGGAAAUGAAUUCUUUGUGACUGUAUUCUGUGAGCACAAGCCAGGAGGGUUUGUGAGAUUGAUGGAGGCAUUGGAUUCUUUAGGCUUGGAAGUGACCAAUGCAAAUGUGACUAGCUUCAGAAGCCUUGUCUCUAACGUCUUCAAAGUAGAGGUAACCAAUUAUCUCUUACUUAAUUAUGUAGCUCAUGACAACUGUUAAUGUUAAUGUUAGUGACAAAUAUUUCAAGAAUCUUACUAUAAAAGACAAAAUUCCUCAUUUAUCAACUAAGUGUCAGAUACACUAAUUGACGGGUCUAAGAACAGUAGGAUCAAUGAGUUUUUUCUUUCUUUCUUUUUCUUCAAACCGGUGCUUUGAGUGUUUUUGACAUAACCAAGAGUUUUUAUUCGUGAAAAGCACUUAAUUUUUUAUUAUAUGUUAAUUACGCAGAAAAAGGACACUGAAAUAGUUCAAGCUGAUCAUGUGAGGGACUCCUUGCUGGAGAUAACAAGGAAUCCAUCAUCAAAAGGGUGGCCUGAGAUGAUUGCUAAAGCAUCAGGGAAUGUCAGUCCAUUGGAUCAUUUUCAGCAUGAUCAUCACCAACAACACCAUCUCCACGAUUACCAUGCUUCUUCAUACCACCUACAACACCUUUAUAGUUAAUUUAGCAUAAUCUACUAAUUAAUUAUGUAUUAAGCAUUCUGAUGAGAACAACUAGCGAGACAGAUUAUGGACAUGCUCGACAUGCGUUAUGCGGUGAUUUAUGGUCUUUUGGGCCAAAUACAUGUUUGCUAGAUCAAAACUACGUUUGAAGAGUUAAGAUAAUUUUUGUAAUUUCCUGUUUCUCUUUGUUUUGAAGCUACGACUUGGUAAGAGUUUUUAAACACCCAAACAAGUUGUAUUCAGACUAUCAUGUCAUAUUAUCAAAUAUAAUUUGAUAGAGUUUGUUAAUGUUAAGAGGGAGAGAUCGAGAGAUCAGAAUUUCAAGAACUAGAGAGAGAAAGGUUUUAGAGAGAGAAACUGCAGAAUUGUUAUAUUGGUUUUCUUAACCUUCAAGCUAUGCUAUUACAAUGAUGUAUUUAUAUAGAGAACACACUCUAACAAACAAACAAACUAAGGCUUACAAUCUUGUGACAAGUGGCACAAUCCUAGCCACUAUCUAUAUCCUUACAAAGUUCUCAUAUCAAAAAUACUUAAAAUAUCGUUUUUAAUAUAGUUAAAACACUAUUUUGAAGAAAAAAAAACAUUAUUUCUAGAAAUUUUAAGUAUUUUCAAAACUGUAUUUCAAGUGUUUUAAGCACAUACAACGUUUUAAGUAUUUUCAAAACGGUGUUUUGAGGAGUUUUUUUUUCUUUUCCCCUAGAAACAUCGUUCCUAGAAAAUUCUUGUUUCUAGGACUUAACCCUAGAUUAACCCUGUGUUCUUUUCUUUUGUUAUUAUUUAUUAUAUCCUCCUUUGUCACCCAAUAACUAAGAGCCUAUAGACUAUUCCAUAUGAUGCAACUUCAUUAUGCAUGUAUAUGUACUUGGAAAUUCGCUUUUAAUGAUUGGGCCACGGGUUACUCUUGGAAAUUCGCUACAUAUAUGUGAGAGAGCAUGUUAAGAGUUUGAAUUCCAUGUUUAGGAAAGAAAAGACUUUGUAUAUACUUGUAAGGAAUUUUGGAUUACUCUCCAUAUUGCUUAUUGAUGCUAAAAAACCUCAACUUCCUUUACACAAAACAUGAUUAAUUUUAAGAGCUAAGGGGCUUCUUGGAAGAUCUUACACAUGCCUAGCACCAUCCACAUUUAACUUAAAGGUCUCAUUGGUUUUAUUGCUAAAAAGGAGUUGGGGAAGUUCUCCAUGCUAAGCUUUGGGCUUUGUUUUAUGAGUUGAAGAUAGCUAAAGCUAGAAAUUUCUCUCAUCUUAUUGUGGAGGUUGAUUAUGCUUUGGUGGUCUCAUUCAUUAUUCGCCUUGCCUUAAUCAUCCUCUCUAUGGUCUUAUCUCGGAAUUAUCUCGGAAUGGAGAAGUUUGAUCAUACAUAACUGGAGCUAUAAUUUGCAGCAUGUUCAUGGAAAGCAUAGUUUUGCAGCUGAAGGGUUAGCCAAAUUAGGUUUAAAUAGCAAGAUGGAUUUUCAAGAGCUUCCUCAGUCUCCUCCUUGUUUAGUUCAAACUCUUUCCGAUGACUGCUCUGGAGUUGCUAGCUAAACUAGUUGUUCUUUAGGUGUUUAAUUUUUUUCUUCUUCCAUGUUACCCCCAAAAAAAAAAGAAAAAAAAAA